rnacentral:misc_RNA from 1 species
GUUCCGUAGGUGAACCUGCGGAAGGAUCAUUAUUGUAUAACCGAGGUGCGAGGGCUGUCGCUGACCCGAAAGGUCGUGCACGCCCGAGUGCCCUCACACACAUCCAUCUCACCCCUAUGUGCACCACCGCGUGGAUCCCCCUUUGGCUUGUUCGGAGGGGGGCUUACGUUUUCACACAAACUUUGUAUGCAGUGUAGAAUGUAUUUUUUGUUUUUGCGAUCACGCAAUCAAUACAACUUUCAACAACGGAUCUCUUGGCUCUC